rnacentral:rRNA from 1 species
AGUGAACGCUGGCGGCGUGCUUAACACAUGCAAGUCGAACGAGAACGGGAUAUAGCUUGCUAUAAUUGUCAGCUAAGUGGCGCACGGGUGAGUAAUGUAUAGGUAAUAUGCCUCUUACUAAGGGAUAACAAAUGGAAACGGUUGUUGAUACCUUAUACUCCUUAUUAACAUAAGUUAAUAAGGUACAGAUUUAUUGGUAAGAGAUUAGCCUGUAUUGUAUCAGUUAGUUGGUGGGGUAAUGGCUUACCAAGACUAUGACACAUAACUGGUUUGAGAGGAUGAUCAGUCACACUGGAACUGAGACACGGACCAGACUCGUACGGGAGGCAGCAGUGGGGAAUAUUGCACAAGGGACGAAAGUCUGAUGCAGCAACGCCGCGUGGAGGAUGACACAUUUCGGUGCGUAAACUCCUUUUAUAUGAGAAGAUAAUGACGGUAUUAUAUGAAUAAGCACCGGCUAACUCCGUGCCAGCAGCCGCCGUAA